UUAUGAUAAAAUGAAAUAAAAUGAGUUUGUGAUUUGAAUUGGGAAAUUGAUUGGUUGAGGGAGGGAGAUGAUAGAUCUGAAAGGGAAGAUUGAAGAUAAAAUGCAAGCAAGGAAAAGGAAAGAUGGUGCCCCUCUUUUUUUCCUACUCAAACCCCAAAAAUUAUCAUCAAUGAAAGCCGACCCAACAAAUGACCGGCUCUGCAACGAAAAGUUUCCUCUAUUUCUUCUCCACCUUUGGAAUUGUAAUCACAUUUGUUGGAAUUGAGGUUCUAACUUCUUUUGUUAACUGUUCAGUGAUUUUUUUGUUUUUUUUUUUGGGUUGGGGAAUUUGGUGGUUGCGUUUGUGGCAAGGAUGUGAUGCGUUUGAGUGGAAACUUGAAGUUGGGAGAGAAUGGAUUUUAGGGUUGAUGAGUGAGUGGAAACGACAUUGUGAAGAAGGUUUGUGAAAAAGGCCAUGAAAAAGGAAAAUGGAAGUAGUGAAUGAUAAUGCUUAGUGUGUUGCGGUUAAUCUCUAUUUGCAGAGACAUUUUGAAUCUUUAAACCUAUUUUCA